UCUGCUUUCUUAUUUUGUCUGGGAGCCAGUUCAUGUCAGCGGAGCUUUCAUGCUAGAGCCAUUCCAAGUUGUAUGAAAUAGACCGGCAUUACACAUGGAAAAUGGAUAACUACAUGAAUCCUGGAAGAUCUGACUGUUCCUAUUACACUUGAUCAAAUACAACUGUCUGCUGCUUUGGCAGAGAUCACCUCUGAUGAUUACAAGGAAAGGACUACAUUACAGACUGAGCUGAUGGAUGUCAGCUGAAGUGUAUGAGAACACAUGGGGACACAUCUUGGGCCUGAUUCCCCCCUGCCUCCGCUCCCACCAUUGACUUCAGCUGCCAUGACCAUGGACAGCAGCCAGACAGCCACAGCCCACCAUAACUAUGAAGGAUUUACACAACACACUGUAAUUGCAGGCAUUACAGCAUGUGGGGUCAAAACACGCUUGUAAAAAUGUGCCCUAUGGAGUUCUCCAAACCCA